rnacentral:ncRNA from 19 species
UUGAAUAGUCAUCUCCGAGCCGGUGCUCCUAAGGGCUGUCGCCUAUGGAACACCGGCCUGGGUUUCGUACCCAUGGGGUAGGUCGGGAAACGGGCCUGCCUCCCUUUGCUCGGAAAGGAGAUUCCCCAUGGCUUCU